rnacentral:rRNA from 1 species
UACGUAGGGGGCAAGCGUUGUCCGGAAUCAUUGGGCGUAAAGAGCGCGUAGGCGGCCCUGUAAGUCCGCCGUGAAAGUCAAGGGCUCAACCCUUGAAUGCCGGUGGAUACUGCAGGGCUAGAGUCCGGAAGAGGCGAGUGGAAUUCCUGGUGUAGCGGUGAAAUGCGCGGAUAUCAGGAGGAACACCGAUGGCGAAGGCAGCUCGCUGGGACGGUACUGACGCUGAGGCGCGAAAGCUAGGGGAGCGAACGGG